rnacentral:rRNA from 1 species
CAAGCUUUUAAGAGCAGAUGGCGGAUGCCUUGCCAAAGAGAGGCGAUGAAGGACGUACUAGACUGCGAUAAGCUAUGCGGAGCUGUCAAGGAGCUUUGAUGCGUAGAUGUCCGAAUGGGGCAACCCAACUAAUAGAGAUAUUAGUUACUCUUUAAUAGAGAGCGAACCUAGUGAAGUGAAACAUCUCAGUAACUAGAGGAAAAGAAAUCAACGAGAUUCCCUAAGUAGUGGCGAGCGAACGGGGAAAAGGGCAAACCGAGUGCUUGCAUUCGGGGUUGAGGACUGCAACAUCCAAGAGAACGCUUUAGCAGAGUUACCUGGAAAGGUAAGCCAUAGAAAGUGAUAGCCUUGUAUGCGACAAGGCGUUUUAGGUAGCAGUAUCCAGAGUAGGCCAGGACACGAGAAAUCCAGGUUGAAGCCGGGGAGACCACUCUCCAACCCUAAAUACUACUCUUUGAGCGAUAGCGAACAAGUACCGUGAGGGAAAGGUGAAAAGAACCGCAGUGAGCGGAGUGAAAUAGAACCUGAAACCAUCUGCUUACAAUCAUUCAGAGCCCUAUGAUUUAUCAGGGUGAUGGACUGCCUUUUGCAUAAUGAUCCUGCGAGUUGUGGUAUCUGGCAAGGUUAAGCGAAUGCGAAGCCGUAGCGAAAGCGAGUCUUAAUAGGGCGAACAAGUCAGAUGCUGCAGACCCGAAGCUAAGUGAUCUAUCCAUGGCCAAGUUGAAACGCGUGUAAUAGCGCGUGGAGGACUGAACUCGUACCCAUUGAAACGGGUUGGGAUGAGCUGUGGAUAGGGGUGAAAGGCCAAACAAACUUAGUGAUAGCUGGUUCUCUUCGAAAUAUAUUUAGGUAUAGCCUCAAGUGAUAAUAAAAGGGGGUAGAGCCCUGAUUGGGCUAGGGCUGCUCGCCGCGGUACCAAACCCUAUCAAACUUCGAAUACCUUUUAUCGUAUCUUGGGAGUCAGGCGGUGGGUGAUAAAAUCAAUCGUCAAAAGGGGAACAACCCAGACUACCAAAUAAGGUCCCUAAGUUCUAUUCUGAGUGGAAAAAGAUGUGUGGCUACUCAAACAACCAGGAGGUUGGCUUAGAAGCAGCCAUCCUUUAAAGAAAGCGUAACAGCUCACUGGUCUAGUGGUCAUGCGCUGAAAAUAUAACGGGGCUAAGAUAGACACCGAAUUUGUAGAUUGUGUUUGACACAGUGGUAGAAGAGCGUUCAUACCAGCGUUGAAGGUAUACCGGUAAGGAGUGCUGGAGCGGUAUGAAGUGAGCAUGCAGGAAUGAGUAACGAUAAGAUAUAUGAGAAUUGUAUCCGCCGUAAAUCUAAGGUUUCCUACGCGAUGGUCGUCAUCGUAGGGUUAGUCGGGUCCUAAGCCGAGUCCGAAAGGGGUAGGUGAUGGCAAAUUGGUUAAUAUUCCAAUACCGACUUAUGGAGCGUGAUGGGGGGACGCAUAGGGUUAAGCGAGCUAGCUGAUGGAAGCGCUAGUCUAAGGGCGUAGAUUGGAGGGAAGGCAAAUCCACCUCUGUAUUUGAAACCCAAACAGGCUCUUUGAGUCCUUUUAGGACAAAGGGAGAAUCGCUGAUACCGUCGUGCCAAGAAAAGCCUCUAAGCAUAUCCAUAGUCGUCCGUACCGCAAACCGACACAGGUAGAUGAGAUGAGUAUUCUAAGGCGCGUGAAAGAACUCUGGUUAAGGAACUCUGCAAACUAGCACCGUAAGUUCGCGAUAAGGUGUGCCACAGCGAUGUGGUCUCAGCAAAGAGUCCCUCCCGACUGUUUACCAAAAACACAGCACUUUGCCAACUCGUAAGAGGAAGUAUAAGGUGUGACGCCUGCCCGGUGCUCGAAGGUUAAGAGGAUGCGUCAGUCGCAAGAUGAAGCGUUGAAUUGAAGCCCGAGUAAACGGCGGCCGUAACUAUAACGGUCCUAAGGUAGCGAAAUUCCUUGUCGGUUAAAUACCGACCUGCAUGAAUGGCGUAACGAGAUGGGAGCUGUCUCAACCAGAGAUUCAGUGAAAUUGUAGUGGAGGUGAAAAUUCCUCCUACCCGCGGCAAGACGGAAAGACCCCGUGGACCUUUACUACAACUUAGCACUGCUAAUGGGAAUAUCAUGCGCAGGAUAGGUGGGAGGCUUUGAAGUAAGGGCUUUGGCUCUUAUGGAGCCAUCCUUGAGAUACCACCCUUGAUGUUUCUGUUAGCUAACUGGCCUGUGUUAUCCACAGGCAGGACAAUGCUUGGUGGGUAGUUUGACUGGGGCGGUCGCCUCCUAAAAAGUAACGGAGGCUUGCAAAGGUUGGCUCAUUGCGGUUGGAAAUCGCAAGUUGAGUGUAAUGGCACAAGCCAGCCUGACUGUAAGACAUACAAGUCAAGCAGAGACGAAAGUCGGUCAUAGUGAUCCGGUGGUUCUGUGUGGAAGGGCCAUCGCUCAAAGGAUAAAAGGUACCCCGGGGAUAACAGGCUGAUCUCCCCCAAGAGCUCACAUCGACGGGGAGGUUUGGCACCUCGAUGUCGGCUCAUCGCAUCCUGGGGCUGGAGCAGGUCCCAAGGGUAUGGCUGUUCGCCAUUUAAAGCGGUACGCGAGCUGGGUUCAGAACGUCGUGAGACAGUUCGGUCCCUAUCUGCCGUGGGCGUAGGAAAGUUGAGGAGAGCUGUCCCUAGUACGAGAGGACCGGGAUGGACGUGUCACUGGUGCACCAGUUGUUCUGCCAAGAGCAUCGCUGGGUAGCUACACACGGAUGUGAUAACUGCUGAAAGCAUCUAAGCAGGAAGCCAACUCCAAGAUAAACUUUCCCUGAAGCUCGCACAAAGACUAUGUGCUUGAUAGGGUAGAUGUGUAAGCGCAGUAAUGCGUUUAGCUGACUACUACUAAUAGAGCGUUUGGCUUGUUUU